GUCAGUGUGGCGUAGUGGUUUGAGUGUUGGACUACAACUCUGGAGGCCAGGGUUCUAUUCCCUUCUCAGCCA